CUGUGCAUCUAGUUCGUGCCGGAAGGCACUUCACUCUUGAACUGUGCCUUUUCAUUGGAUGGAAAUAGAAAAUGUCUACUGCUCACAAAGACUGGAAAAGAAACAAAGGAGAAACUCUGAACUGCUUCUGCAACAUCAGGAUGGCCAUUAUCAGAGAAAUGAACUAUCUCUGACCAGUAAUCAAGUUCUCAAUUCAGGCAUCUCUUCAUUUUAUGACUGCAGCUGUCAUUUCAAUACCUGAUACAUUUAAUUCAAAGGUAAACUGGAAUUUUUGAGACCAAGUUAGAGGGUUCCUUUAUGCUAUCUUGGUCCAACAUGGCUUUGAAGUGAAGGUCAUAUGGAUAAUCAAUGGGUUUAAAGGGGAUUGAGGGUGAAAUAAAAAAAUAAUUCUAUCAGUAUACACACUGGGACCUGCAGUAGCACGAAGGAGUGGACACCUCUGACCUGCCGACCUCUCACCAUUGAAACAUGAGGUGGACUUUGUAAGACAGGAAUCUAGAAGUGUCCUACAUUGAAUGGCGACCAACAGUCAUGGCAUAGGUAAUUAUCCAGUUAAUAUCAAAUCAGUCAUGGUUUCAGAUUUAACCUAUGAACAAAAUAAACAACGUUGGGGGCAACCAAGAUAAUUUACCUAUUGGAACUAAGUAUGAAGUUAUACUAUCAGAUAUCCCAAUAAAAACACAGGCAAAAUACUUUUAGUAACUGGAUUUUAUACCACUAUUAUAUCUUUAUUAAUUCUAUAAUAUGGAGCCAUAUAUUUCAAUAGUUUAUGUCAUUAACUGAUGACAACUUUGUUUCUAUUUAAUACUUAAUGAAAGAGUUUUCAUAUCAUUGUUUUUUCUCUUCAAGUCGUAUACAUUCAUGUUGUUUUAUCUAAUCUACAAAUUAAG
rnacentral:lncRNA from 1 species